UACGGAGGGUGCGAGCGUUGUCCGGAAUCACUGGGCGUAAAGGGCGCGUAGGCGGUUCGUUAAGUUGCUGGUGAAAUCCCGGGGCUCAACUCCGGGGCUGCCAGUAAGGCUGGCGGGCUAGAGCACGGUAGAGGCAGAUGGAAUUCCCGGUGUAGCGGUGGAAUGCGUAGAUAUCGGGAAGAAUACCGGUGGCGAAGGCGUUCUGCUGGGCCGUUGCUGACGCUGAGGCGCGACAGCGUGGGGAGCAAACAGG
rnacentral:rRNA from 1 species